CAGUCGCCACGGGAAUACAGAGGGUGCAAGCGUUAAUCGGAAUUACUGGGCGUAAAGCGCGCGUAGGUGGUUUGUUAAGUCGGAUGUGAAAUCCCUGAGCUUAACUUAGGAAUUGCAUUCGAUACUGGGAAGCUAGAGUAUGGGAGAGGAUGGUAGAAUUCCAGGUGUAGCGGUGAAAUGCGUAGAGAUCUGGAGGAAUACCGAUGGCGAAGGCAGCCAUCUGGCCUAAUACUGACGCUGAGGUACGAAAGCAUGGGGAGCAAACAGGAUUAGAUACCCCCGUAGUCCCUGUCUCUUAUAA
rnacentral:rRNA from 1 species